UACGUAGGAUGCAAGCGUUGCUCGGAAUUAUUGGGUGUAAAGGGCGCGUAGGCGGUUUGAUAAGUCAUUGGUGAAAGCCCACGGCUCAACCGUGGAAUUGCCUGUGAUACUGUCAGACUAGAGUACGGGAGAGGGGAGUGGAAUUCCUGGUGUAGCGGUGAAAUGCGUAGAUAUCAGGAGGAACACCGGUGGCGAAGGCGGCUCCCUGGACCGAUACUGACGCUGAGGCGCGAAAGCGUGGGUAGCAAACAGG
rnacentral:rRNA from 1 species